rnacentral:rRNA from 1 species
UACAGAGGGUGCGAGCGUUGUCCGGAAUCACUGGGCGUAAAGGGCGCGUAGGUGGCGUCGCAAGUUGAUGGUGAAAGCUCGGCGCUCAACGCCGAGUCGGCCGUCAAGACUGCGAGGCUCGAGCACUGUAGAGGCUAAUGGAAUUCCGGGUGUAGCGGUGGAAUGCGUAGAGAUCCGGAAGAACACCGGUGGCGAAGGCGGUUAGCUGGGCA